rnacentral:rRNA from 1 species
AUGGAUCACAACUCGGAGUUGCUUUGCUGGAACAUGCGAGGGCUCAAUAACCCUGCAAAAAGAAAGGCGGUUAGGGAAUUUGUGGAGGCAGUGAACGUUAACAUGGUGUGUUUUCAAGAGACCAAACUUCAUGUAAUCGAUCUAUAUGAUGUAAUGCAAUGUGUCGGACCAUCUUUCGAUGGAUUCGGUUACUUGACGGCGUCUGAGAGCCAAGGUGGCAUUUUGUUGGCAUGGGACUCCAUGGUGUUGGACGUGGACAGUAUGGUAUUGGACACACAGUAUCGCCGGCAUGUGCGCACUAGGGAGGGCAAUUCUUGGUGGAUCACCGGAGUAUACGGGACGCAGGGAGACGGCGAGAAGGUCAGGUUCCUUAAUGAACUAAGGGCAUGA